rnacentral:rRNA from 1 species
UACGUAGGGAGCGAGCGUUGUCCGGAUUUACUGGGCGUAAAGGGAGCGUAGGCGGACUUUUAAGUGAGAUGUGAAAUACCCGGGCUCAACUUGGGUGCUGCAUUUCAAACUGGAAGUCUAGAGUGCAGGAGAGGAGAAUGGAAUUCCGGGUGUAGUGGUGAAAUGCGUAGAGAUCCGGAGGAACACCAGUGGCGAAGGCGACACGCUGGGCCUGACCUGACGCUGAGAGGCGAAAGCAUGGGGAGCGAACGGGAUUAGAUACCCGGGUAGUCCCU